UGCCUACGGGACGCAGCAGUGGGGAAUAUUGCACAAUGGGGGAAACCCUGAUGCAGCGACGCCGCGUGAGUGAAGAAGUAUUUCGGUAUGUAAAGCUCUAUCAGCAGGGAAGAUAAUGACGGUACCUGACUAAGAAGCCCCGGCUAACUACGUGCCAGCAGCCGCGGUAAUACGUAGGGGGCAAGCGUUAUCCGGAAUUAUUGGGUGUAAAGGGUGCGUAGACGGAAGAACAAGUUGGUCGUGAAAUCCCUCGGCUCAACUGAGGAACUGCAACCAAAACUAUUCUCCUUGAGUGUCGGAGAGGA
rnacentral:rRNA from 1 species